rnacentral:snoRNA from 1 species
CACGUCUCUCGAUAUGAUGAAUUCAAGGAACCGUACGGCAUUAGGAAGAGCCGGAAAAGGAUGCCAGUGAAAGGACAUGAGGGAGCAUGGCAUCGUCAAAUGCCGUGUUCUGGUCACCCAAAAAAAAGUCUCCUGGCCUCGCUGCUUAGAAGGGUUCUUCUGAUAUAUCACUAUUU